rnacentral:lncRNA from 1 species
CCAAAAGGCAGAGACAGGAAUGCAAACAUGAAGUCCAAUGGGAUGAUGGAGCCUGCAUGCAAGUAGAGGAGAUGCCAUAAUAAGUGUGUCCUCGCCUGUCUAUUCAUCUGUAGCAUUUCCGAUGCACCAUUAGCAAAGAAUCCCUGUGGACCCACGAAGCAUGUGAUCUCAAACCAAGUACAAGAACGAAAUUACCAUGUGAUAUUAAGAAGACACUCUCGGCAUUGAAAGCGUUACUGCAGCAGACAUCCAGCAGAGCUCCCAAGGGAGUGGUCUGUAGAUGACCAGGAUAAAAAUAAUCCAGAGUCCGCCUAUGAAUGCAGGUUCCUGGGCCAUGCUUCCAGAUCUACCAAAUCAAGUACCUAGGAGUGGGAGGCUCAGGAAUCCAGGUGAUUCUGACCAGCAACCUUUAUGUGUUUAUGGGCAGCAAAAGGUAG